rnacentral:tRNA from 1 species
GGAAGAGAACGUUCCCCGGUGGGAUGCCCGAUCUUCAAAAUCGGGAGGGGCCGCCAUGCAGUCCCAGGUAGGUUCGACACCUGCUCUCUUCCGCCA